UGAAAAUUGUGCAUUCAGAGAAUUCACAUUACUCUAGAAACCCUUUCUGAGGCUCCGAUCUCUAAGCCGAGUUAACCUCCGGUCCAGGAACUAGAGGAAGAUUAGCCCUGAGCUAAUAUCCACUGCCAAUCCUCUUUUUGCUGAGGAAGACGCCCUGAGCUAACAUCCAUGCCCAUAUUCCUCUACUUUAUAUGUGGGAUGCCUACCACAGCAUGGCUUGACAAGUGGUGCCAUGUCCGCACCCGGGAUCCAAAUCAGCAAACCCUGGGGCGCCAAAUCGGAACGUGUGAACUUAACCGCUGCACCACCGGGCCGGCCCCCCGAAUGGUUUUUUAAGUAUGUUUCAUGCGAUAGUUUUACCCAGCCAUUCCGAGUCGCUCAAGUGCAUCAGUUCCCUCAGCAAAUCCUGCAUCAAGAGUUCUUCAACAUGGAUCUUUUCUUGGACCUCUUCCCACAAAAAUGCAUAAUUAUCCAUCCAAAUAUUUCAUGGGAAAU
rnacentral:lncRNA from 1 species